GACAGAGGGGGCAAGCGUUGCUCGGAAUCACUGGGCGUAAAGGGCGCGUAGGCGGGAUGGCAAGUCGGUCGUGAAAUCUCUCGGCUCAACCGAGAAACGUCGGCCGAUACUGCCGUUCUUGAGGGAUGCAGAGGAGACUGGAAUUCCCGGUGUAGCGGUGAAAUGUGUAGAGAUCGGGAGGAACACCAGUGGCGAAGGCGGGUCUCUGGACAGUUCCUGACACUGAGACACGAAGGCCAGGGGAGCAAACGGG
rnacentral:rRNA from 1 species